UAUUCUUGAUUGUGGUUGAAAGCUAGGAUGCUUAGAAGGAAUUAAAAGUAGGUUAAUAGUAAACGCUAACCGGUUGAUUAGAUGAAUGAUAGGACAUCCGUGAAAUGGUUGUUUAUUGAAUUGAAUGUGACACCGAGAACGGGUGGCGUCUAGAAAUGAAAGAAAGGAAAGAGUCUAAAGAAAAAGGAAAUGAAUAAAGAAAAGGAAAUGAUAAGAAAAAGGAAAGAAAAUGAAUGAUUAGAAAAGUACCCGGGAAGGGUGGGAUAAAUUACCCAAGAAGGGUGGGAUAAAUUACCCGGGGAAGGGUGA
rnacentral:lncRNA from 1 species